GAUGAACGCUGGCGGCGUGCCUAAUACAUGCAAGUCGAGCGAACGGACGAGAAGCUUGCUUCUCUGAUGUUAGCGGCGGAGGGGUGAGUAACACGUGGAUAACCUACCUAUAAUACUGGUAUAACUUGGGGAAACCGGAGCUAAUACCGGAUAAUAUUUUGAACCGCAUGGGUCAAAAGUGAAAUACGGUCUUGCUGUCACUUCUAGAUGGAUCCGCGCUGCUUUAGAUGGUUGGUAAGUUAACGGCUUACGAAGGCAACGAUGCAUAGCCGACCUGAGAGACGGAUAGCCCACCCUAGAGCUGGGCCACGGACAAGACGACUGAGGGACGCAGCAGUAGGGAAUCUGCCGCAGUGGGCGAAAACAUGACGGAACAAGGCGGAGUGAGUGAUGACGGUGUUCGGUUCGUAAAACUCUGUUAUUAGGGAAGAACAUAUGUGUAAGUAAAUGUGCACUUCGUGACGGUACCUAAUCAGGAAGCACCGGCUAACUACGUG
rnacentral:rRNA from 1 species